rnacentral:tRNA from 1 species
GCAGUCGUGGCCGAGUGGUUAAGGCGAUGGACUCGAAAUCCAUUGGGGUCUCCCCGCGCAGGUUCGAAUCCUGCUGACUGCG